rnacentral:snoRNA from 1 species
AUUAAGAAAAUGAUGAUAUGAAAUGGCUGCAAACAGCAACCUCCUCAAUGGUAUAUGCAACCUGUUGCUUGCAUGGACUGCCCUAAGAGACCCUAGAGACCAUG